rnacentral:rRNA from 1 species
UACGGGGGGGGCAAGCGUUGUUCGGAAUUACUGGGCGUAAAGGGCGCGUAGGCGGCCAGUGCAAGUCAGUUGUGAAAUCUCCGAGCUUAACUCGGAAAGGUCAACUGAUACUGCUCGGCUAGAGUGCGGAAGGGGCAACUGGAAUUCUUGGUGUAGCGGUGAAAUGCGUAGAUAUCGAGAGGAACACCUGCGGCGAAGGCGGGUUGCUGGGCCGACACUGACGCUGAGGCGCGAAAGCUAGGGGAGCGAACGGG